UACGUAGGGUGCGAGCGUUGUCCGGAAUCAUUGGGCGUAAAGCGCGCGUAGGCGGCCAGAUAAGUCCGGUGUGAAAGUCACAGGCUCAACCUGUGAAUGCCGCUGGAAACUGUCUGGCUUGAGUCCGGAAGAGGCGAGUGGAAUUCCCGGUGUAGCGGUGAAAUGCGCAGAUAUCGGGAGGAACACCUAUGGCGAAGGCAGCUCGCUGGGACGUUACUGACGCUGAGACGCGAAAGCGUGGGGAGCAAACAGG
rnacentral:rRNA from 1 species